GAAGUCCUGCAGGUCCUGCAGCAGCUGGACUCGCAUCUCCGUCUGCUGCUCCAGACAGCGCUGCUGCUCCACCAGCUGGGUCCGCACAUCUGCAUCAACACAACGCUGAGUUACGGGAGGGAAACCGGACCGGCACCUGUAGAACCGUCUGGAUCUUAUCGGAAAACCUCCAGUUCAGACUCCCACAAUGCUCCUGGUGGUCACAGGUCGGCGCCAUCGAUGAAGGAUGUGUGUUCGUCAGGAGUCACCUUGGACGCUCAAACGCCCGACUCUGAAUCCCUCCUCUGCCUCCGUCGGCGGCUGAAGCCCGGUUGCACGCUCCACUGCUCGCCGUUUCUGCAGCAGAGGCCAUGCGAGCGCCACAAACGCUGCUCUCUCUCUCACUGACAGACACACAGCAGUCCCCGGGGACCCCAUCCACUCCACUACCUGUUGUCUUGGUAACC